rnacentral:rRNA from 1 species
UGAGGAAUAUUGGUCAAUGGGCGAGAGCCUGAACCAGCCAAGUCGCGUGAGGGAAGACGGUCCUAUGGAUUGUAAACCUCUUUUGCCGGGGAGCAAAGAGCGGUACGUGUACCGCGCCGAGAGUACCCGGAGAAAAGCAUCGGCUAACUCCGUGCC